UUCUAAGAACACAACAGUUAUGUAAUUAGGCGGUGAGAUAUAUUUUAAAUAUGACAAUUUAUUGAUAGCAUUUUUUUUAUAUCCAGCUAUAAACGCAGCACAAUGCGUACGUUCAGAUAAAUUAAUUCUACGCAUAAGACUAGUAAAUACUCGAUGUAUCUGGGGAUUGUAAAAUUUUUCCUUUCUUAAGACGUGGAGUUCUAUAAGGAAAAAGGUACUUUGAGAACAUGCCAAUUGUCGUGCGGUUUUAAAUGGUUGUUAAAUCAGGUGUACCGUGUACCUAUUUACUCAGAGCGUAAAAAUGCUAGGUACUUAUGUAGUUGUAUAUCAUUGUGUAAAUAGGAGGAAAAAAGGAAAGUUGAAUACACCUUAAAGUUUGUACACCAAUGUUUAACAUCUUGCUUCUAGCUUUAAUCCCCUUAAAUAAAAAUACCAUGCCUCCAAUAUAGACGGGUAAUUACUUAUAAGUACUACAGGUAUUUUGCCACCGUUACAGGUACAUAAUAAGUUUUAAAGGUAAGUUUGACUUAUUUAAAUCAUAUCUUUGAUCUGUAUGCAAGUAAGACGUUAUACAAUGGCGUAAAUAAAACUUAAACAAUGCAUAUGCAGCUGCGUGAUGGAAAGCAAGGACAUGACGCAAUGCCAACGUCUUUCUUAUUGCAAUUUAUUGAACAAUACAUUGUGAAGGAUUCCCCUCAAAACCAUCGCCGAAUCGCCCCCGUAAGCUCUCCAAACUACAGGAAAUCCGGUGAAUCCCAGACAGAUGUGAACCCUAGCACUUAUGUUUAAGUACGAUGAGAGUUGGAUAUUUGUCAAUUACUACAACAGCGUGGUCACUUCCACGUACCUAAGAAAAUGUAUUAAUAAAUAUGGUAAUGUGAUGACUAGAUCUUUUUCUUUGCAAAAUUAUUGCUGAACCAUAGCUAUUAUAUCAGCAUUUACAAGGGUGUUAAAGUAAUUUAUACACUUUUAUGAAGUCUUGAGUCAAUAAAACAUAGAGUGACUAGACACUUUUCAUUACGUACUGUAAUAUAGUGACCUAGUUGUAUUUAUAACGGUGUUUGUAACAGAUUAAUUUUCAAACUACCUGCGCAACGCUAUUAAAUACAAUUAUAGGUAUAUACAAUAUUAUACAACCUAUAUAGGCACCUCUGUUGCUUUUUCAUUUUAUAAUUAAUAUAAUAAUAAUGCCAGUACAAGAAAUCAGUUACAUAAUUUUACAACAUGUCAAGUUCUUUUUGUAUCCAGCCUGUAGUUAUAUUUCUUAACUUAUUCCAGUAUAUACCACUAGAAUAUUUAUUUGUGUAAAUAAAAUUGUAUAAGUCAUAAAAUAACGCAAAAUAAAACGAUCAAUGUUCAACAAUAUCGAGUUUAUUUCGGUAAUAAAACAAAUCACUAGGGAAUCACUUACAUAAAAUAUAGAAAAUUAACAUACGAACAAACUUGUAUACACUGGUUAUGUUAUAAAAUUUGCCACACGAGUGAUUAUAAUAGAACUUGCGACAGUUAAGUUAUUUUCAUUAUUUCAAAACGUUUAAGUAACUUGAACGAAAGUAGUGUUAAAUUGACUACAAAUUGCUUUUUAUUGAAUAUAUUUAGCGUGUAAAAAUUGUAUAGAGGUCCUGAAAUUGUAUGUCCUUGUAAACUGUCGAUAUGGUAUAAGAAGUUUUAAUUCACUUUGCAAGUUCUAUUAACAGGAAGGCAGAAAUACAAUCGAAUCCUAUAUUUAAAAAAAAAAAAAAAAA